AGGGUUCGAUUCUGGCUCAGGACGAACGCUGGUGGCGUAGCUUAACACAUGCAAGUCGAGCGAUGAAGCUCUUCGGGAGUGGAUUAGCGGCGGACGGGUGAGUAACACGUGGGUAACCUGCCUCAUAGAGGGGAAUAGCCUUUCGAAAGGAAGAUUAAUACCGCAUAAGAUUGUAGUACCGCAUGGUACAGCAAUUAAAGGAGUAAUCCGCUAUGAGAUGGACCCGCGUCGCAUUAGCUAGUUGGUGAGGUAACGGCUCACCAAGGCGACGAUGCGUAGCCGACCUGAGAGGGUGAUCGGCCACAUUGGGACUGAGACACGGCCCAGACUCCUACGGGAGGCAGCAGUGGGGAAUAUUGCACAAUGGGGGAAACCCUGAAUGCAGCAACGCCGCGUGAGUGAUGACGGCCUUCGGGUUGUAAAACUCUGUCUUUGGGGACGAUAAUGACGGUACCCAAGGAGGAGGCCACGGCUAACUACGUGCCAGCAGCUGC
rnacentral:rRNA from 1 species